rnacentral:tRNA from 1 species
GGGGCCAUAGCUCAGUGGUAAGAGCAUCUGCCUUGAACGCAGAAAGUCGCAGGUUCAAUCCUCUGUGGCAUCU